CCUAAGGUGGGAUAGAUGAUUGGGGUGAAGUCGUAACAAGGUAGCCGUAUCGGAAGGUGCGGCUGGAUCACCUCCUUUCUAAGGAA
rnacentral:rRNA from 1 species